UACGGGGGGGGUAAGCGUUGUUCGGAAUUACUGGGCGUAAAGGGCUCGUAGGCGGCCAACUAAGUCAGACGUGAAAUCCCUCGGCUUAACUGGGGAACUGCGUCUGAUACUGGAUGGCUUGGAUUCGGGAGAGGAAUGCGGAAUUCCAGGUGUAGCGGUGAAAUGCGUAGAUAUCUGGAGGAACACCGGUGGCGAAGGCGGCAUUCUGGACCGAUAUUGACGCUGAGGAGCGAAAGCCAGGGGAGCAAACGGG
rnacentral:rRNA from 1 species